rnacentral:rRNA from 1 species
ACUCCUACGGGAGGCAGCAGUGAGGAAUUUUGCGCAAUGGGCGAAAGCCUGACGCAGCGACGCCGCGUGGAGGACGAAGGCCUUCGGGUCGUAAACUCCUGUCAAGCGGGACGAAUCCCUGGCGAAUGAAUAAGUCGCCAGGUUGACGGUACCGCUGGAGGAAGCCCCGGCUAACUCCGUGCCAGCAGCCGCGGUAAUA